UAGGGAAUCUUCCGCAAUGUGCGAAAGCUUGACGGAGCAACGCCGCGUGAGUGAUGAAGGUCUUCGGAUCGUAAAACUCUGUUAUUAGGGAAGAACAAAUGUGUAAGUAACUAUGCACGUCUUGACGGUACCUAAUCAGAAAGCCACGGCUAACUACGUGCCCGCAGCCGCGGUAAUACGUAGGUGGCAAGCGUUAUCCGGAAUUAUUGGGCGUAAAGCGCGCGUAGGCGGUUUUUUAAGUCUGAUGUGAAAGCCCACGGCUCAACCGUGGAGGGUCAUUGGAAACUGGAAAACGUGAGUGCAGAAGAGGAAAGUGGAAUUCCAUGUGUAGCGGUGAAAAGCGCAGAGAUAUGGAGGAACACCAGUGGCGAAGGCGACUUUCUGGUCUGUAACUGACGCUGAUGUGCGAAAGCGUGGGGAUCAAACAGG
rnacentral:rRNA from 1 species